rnacentral:rRNA from 1 species
UAGUAACGGCGAGUGAAGAGGGAAAAGCUCAAAUUUUGAAUCUGGUGUCUUUGACUCCCGAGUUGUAAUCUAGAGAAGUGUUUUCCGCGUUGGACCGUGUACAAGUUCCCUGGAACGGGGCGUCAUAGAGGGUGAGAAUCCCGUAUAUGCCACGGACUACCAAUGCUCUGUGAUACACUCUCAACGAGUCGAGUUGAUUGGGAAUGCAGCUCAAAAUGGGUGGUAAAUUCCAUCUAAAGCUAAAUAUUGGCGAGAGACCGAUAGCGAACAAGUACCGUGAGGGAAAGAUGAAAAGCACUUUGGAAAGAGAGUGAAACAGUACGUGAAAUUGUUGAAAGGGAAGCGUUUGAAGUCAGUCACGUCUGUCGGAAUUCAGCCUGGCUUCUGCCUGGUGUACUUUCCGUCCGACGGGUCAGCAUCAAUUUCGACCGAGGGGAAAAGACGUGAGGAAUGUGGCUGUCUUCGGGCAGUGUUAUAGCCUCGGGUUGUAUGUCUCGGUUGGGAUUGUGGAACGCAGCGCGCCUAUUGGCCGGGGGUUCGCGCCCCUCGGUACGCGCUUAGGA